rnacentral:misc_RNA from 1 species
GUGAGUUGGACCAUGUGGACGAAGUCCCACUCAAAUUUCCUUUGCUUGUGUGCUUUCCAAAAACGAUGCACUCUUCUUCUAGCCCCAAAAAAGCACCACUGUGCAACACGGCCUGUAACAAAGCUGCCGAAAGAUGUCUCUGGUGUGUUCCCGGCAAUCUACAACUCUGAACUGGUGGAGUCCGGCUGGUUUGAGUGGUGGGAACAGAGCGGACUCUUCCGGCCAGAAAACGCCCAGGAGGCAACCAGCGGGUCCUUCAGCAUGGUGCUCCCUCCACCCAACAUCACAGGGGACCUGCACUUGGGCCAUGCCCUCACGGUGGCCAUACAGGACACGCUUGUGCGCUGGCACCGCAUGCAGCAGCGGAAGGUGGUGUGGGUGCCCGGCUGUGACCACGCGGGCAUUGCCACCCAGUCGGUGCUGGAGAAGAGGGCCUGGGCACAGGGCGGGCUCACCAGGCACCAGAUGGGGCGCACGGCGUUCCUUCAAGAGGCCCAAGCCUGGAGGAGGAGCAAGGAAGCCAACAUUCUGAGGCAGCUUAGGCGUCUGGGGGCUUCUCUGGAUUACACUAGAAGCACCUUCACCAUGGAUGAGUCGAUGAGCCACGCAGUGAAGUGGGCGUUCUGUCGCCUGUUUGACGACGGCCUAGUGUACAGGGAGAAGAGGAUGGUCAACUGGUGCUGCUGGCUGCAGUCAGCCAUCUCUGACAGUGAGGUGAAGCAUGUGCAAGUGUCCCCAGGAACUCUGCUUAGGGUGCCCGGCUGUCCAGAGGCUGUAGAAGUUGGCUACCUGGACAGGCUGGCCUUUCCUGUUGGAGACACAGAGGUGGAGGUGUGCACCACCCGGCCAGAGACUAUGUUGGCUGACACCGCUCUAGCCGUGCAUCCUGAGGACAACCGCUACCGGCACCUGAUCGGUCGCAUGGCUUGCCACCCGAUCACGGGGACAUCUUUGCCGAUCAUUGCCAACUCUCAAGUGGACAGGGCCUUCGGCACAGGAGCCAUGAAAGUGACCCCUGGCUACAGCAGGGUGGACCACCAGCUUGCCAAGGAGCACGGCCUCCCCGUGGUGGAGUGCUUUGACGACCAGGGCCGGGUGGUGGAGGGGCACGGUACCUUCUCUGGACUUUCGGGGAUGGAGGCCAAGGCAGCGGUGUUGGCCCUGCUCAAGGAGAAGGGCCUGUACAGGGGCAGGGUGGGACACGAGUCCACGGUGCCCGUCUGCAGCCGAACGGGCGACCUCAUCGACGUCCGGCUCAAGCCACAGUUCUUCCUCGACUUCUCCAAACUUGCUCGGCAAGCCCUAGCAUGCAUGGAGGAGGGGCAUCUCAGCAUUACCCCGGCCUACUGGAGAAAGGCUUGGAGCGAGUGGCUCUCGAAACCAGAGGAUUGGUGCAUAUCGCGGCAGCUCUGGUGGGGUCAUCGUAUCCCGGCCUACAGGGUUCUCAAUGCAGAGGAGGAGACUUGGGUCAGCGGAAUGACAGAAGAGGAGGCGGCUAGCAAGGCCGCGGCACGGUUGGGAAUCUCUCGAGAGGACGUUUGCCUGAAACAAGACGAGGACGUCUUGGACACGUGGUUUUCCUCGGCCUUGUUUCCUCUGGCAGUUUCUGGCUGGCCGGAGAAGCCCCUGCCCAGCUGGUUCCCGCUCUCGCUGAUGGAGACCGGCCACGACAUCCUGUUCUUCUGGGUGGCUCGCAUGGUGGCCCUUACCCUACAGCUCACCGGGAAGCUGCCCUUCCACAAGGUGAUGCUCCAUGGCAUGAUCCGAGACUCCGAGGGCCGCAAGAUGUCCAAGUCUCUGGGCAACGUAAUCGACCCUCUCGACGUCGUCCACGGCAAGUCCCUGGAGGAACUGGAGGAGAGCACCCGGGAGCUGCAGAGGCAAGGCUACAUUGGGCCGGAGGAACUGGCCACGGCCCUGAGGUGCCAGCGGCAGGCGUUCCCCUCCGGCAUCGAGAAGUGCGGCAGCGAUGCCCUCAGACUGGCCUUGCUCUCUUAUGACGUCCAGGCGGAGACCAUCAGUUUCCAGAUGAAGGAUGCUGUUCGCUGGCUUCACUUUUGCAACAAGCUCUGGCAGGCGACGCGCUUCUUUGUCUCAGCAGCUGACAAACUGGGGCAGAGGCCUCAAUUGGCUUCGCUCCUUUCGGUGGAGCUGGAACUGAUGGACCGCUGGAUCCUGAGCCGUCUCUCGUUUUUGGUGGAGGCGAGCCAGGCGCACCUGUCCAACGGGGACCUGCACCUGUUCACUUCUGCAGUGCAGGCGUUCGUUGUACAGCACCUGUGCGACGUCUACCUGGAGAGCAUCAAGCCUGCAGUGUGGGGAAACAGCACCGAAGACAUCUCACGCGUGUGCAGCGUCCUCCACGCCGUGCUAGACGUCACGCUGAAGACGCUGUCUCCCGCCGCCCCUUUUCUCACCGAAGAGCUCUACCAGCGCCUGGCAUUGAGGUUUGGUGGCUGCGCGGCACCCAGCAUUUGCGUCGCCCCUUACCCGACCAGGGACCAGUGGGACCAGUGGCGUAACGAAGACCUCGAGAGGCAGGUGCGGUUGGCCCUGGAAGUGGUGACCACUCUGAGGAACGUCCGACUCUCCUGUGGCAUCAAGGAGCCCUCCGGUUGCUGUAGUGCAGAAGGCGGUGCAGGAACGCCUCCAGAGGCUAACAGUGAAACUGCAUAAAAUGGAACAGCGGAGAGCCCAUCCAAAGUAUACGCGUUCCAGAACGGUCAAGGAGCAGGAGAGAGACCAUCAAAAGAUUCUGGAUUUAAAAAGUGAAAUAGAACGGUUGAAAGCCACGUAAGUUUUACACGCCCAAACCUAGAAUAAACUUGUAUAAUAUAAGUUAGUGAUAUAA